rnacentral:rRNA from 1 species
UGGAGGGCAAGUCUGGUGCCAGCAGCCGCGGUAAUUCCAGCUCCAAUAGCGUAUAUUAAAGUUGUUGCAGUUAAAAAGCUCGUAGUUGAAUUUCGGGAUCAGUACGCCGGUCGUGCCUCCGGUAUGUACUGGUGUCACUGGUUCCUCCCUUCUGAAGAACCAUCAUGCUAUUCAUUUAGUGUGGUGGGAAAUCAGGACUGUUACUUUGAAAAAAUUAGAGUGUUUAAAGCAGGCUCACGCUUGAAUACAUUAGCAUGGAAUAAUGAAAUAGGACGUUGAUCCUAUUUUGUUGGUUUCUAGGAUUGACGUAAUGAUUAGUAGGGAUAGUUGGGGGCAUUAGUAUUCAAUUGUCAGAGGUGAAAUUCUUGGAUUUAUUGAAGACUAACUACUGCGAAAGCAUUUGCCAAGGAUGUUUUCAUUAAUCAAGAACGAAAGUUAGGGGAUCGAAGACGAUCAGAUACCGUCGUAGUCUUAACCAUAAACUAUGCCGACUAGGGAUCGGAUGAUGUUAAUUUUUUAAUGACUCAUUCGGCGCCUUACGGGAAACCAAAGUGUUUGGGUUC